rnacentral:rRNA from 1 species
AUUGAACGCUGGCGGCACGCCUAACACGUGCAAGUCGAGCGGCAGCGUGAGUAGUAGCAAUACUACUUGACGGCGAGCGGCGGACGGGUGAGGAACACGUAGGAACUUGCCCUUUAGAGGGGGAUAACCAAGGGAGACUUUGGCUAAUACCGCAUAGACUCGGAAGAGGAAAGGUGCCGUAAGGUACCGCUAGAGGAGAGGCCUGCGUCUGAUUAGCUAGUUGGUGUGGUAAGAGCGCACCAAGGCGAUGAUCGGUAACUGGUCUGAGAGGACGACCAGUCACACUGGGACUGAGACACGGCCCAGACUCCUACGGGAGGCAGCAGUGGGGAAUCUUGGACAAUGGGGGCAACCCUGAUCCAGCGAUGCCGCGUGGGUGAAGAAGGCCUUCGGGUUGUAAAGCCCUUUAGGCUGGGAAGAAGAUUAUUAGGUGAAUAACUUAGUAAUUUGACGGUACCGGCAGAAUAAGCACCGGCAAACUCUGUGCCAGCCGCCGCCGUAAAAC